CACGUGGGUAACCUGCCCAAGAGAUCGGGAUAACACCUGGAAACAGAUGCUAAUACCGGAUAACAACAGAUGAUGCCUAUCAACUGUUUAAAAGAUGGUUCUGCUAUCACUCUUGGAUGGACCUGCGGUGCAUUAGCUAGUUGGUAGGGUAACGGCUUACCAAGGCAACGAUGCGUAGCCGACCUGAGAGGGUGAUCGGCCACACUGGAACUGAGACACGGUCCAGACUCCUACGGGAGGCAGCAGC
rnacentral:rRNA from 1 species